UACGUAGGGUGCGAGCGUUAAUCGGAAUUACUGGGCGUAAAGCGUGCGCAGGCGGUUUGUUAAGUCAGGUGUGAAAUCCCCGGGCUUAACCUGGGAAUGGCGCUUGUUACUGGCAGGCUAGAGUGUGUCAGAGGGAGGUAGAAUUCCACGUGUAGCAGUGAAAUGCGUAGAGAUGUGGAGGAAUACCGAUGGCGAAGGCAGCCUCCUGGGAUAACACUGACGCUCAUGCACGAAAGCGUGGGGAGCAAACAGG
rnacentral:rRNA from 1 species